AGUUGAGCGACAGAUGAGAAGCUUGCUUCUCUGAUGUUAGCGGCGGACGGGUGAGUAACACGUGGGUAACCUACCUAUAAGACUGGGAUAACUCCGGGAAACCGGGGCUAAUACCGGAUAAUAUUUUGAACCGCAUGGUUCAAUAGUGAAAGACGGUUUCGGCUGUCACUUAUAGAUGGACCCGCGCCGUAUUAGCUAGUUGGUAAGGUAACGGCUUACCAAGGCGACGAUACGUAGCCGACCUGAGAGGGUGAUCGGCCACACUGGAACUGAGACACGGUCCAGACUCCUACGGGAGGCAGCAGUAGGGAAUCUUCCGCAAUGGGCGAAAGCCUGACGGAGCAACGCCGCGUGAGUGAUGAAGGUCUUCGGAUCGUAAAACUCUGUUGUUAGGGAAGAACAAAUUUGUUAGUAACUGAACAAGUCUUGACGGUACCUAACCAGAAAGCCACGGCUAACUACGUGCCAGCAGCCGCGGUAAUACGUAGGUGGCAAGCGUUAUCCGGAAUUAUUGGGCGUAAAGCGCGCGUAGGCGGUUUCUUAAGUCUGAUGUGAAAGCCCACGG
rnacentral:rRNA from 1 species